GACGUAGGGCGCGAGCGUUGUCCGGAUUUAUUGGGCGUAAAGCGCGUGUAGGCGGUCUUGCAAGUCGGGUGUGAAAUCCCUUGGCUCAACUGAGGAAGUGCGCCCGAAACUGCAGAACUUGAGUACCGGAGAGGAUGGCGGAAUUCCCCAAGUAGAGGUGAAAUUCGUAGAUAUGGGGAGGAACACCGGUGGCGAAGGCGGCCAUCUGGACGGAUACUGACGCUGAGACGCGAAAGCAUGGGGAGCAAACAGG
rnacentral:rRNA from 1 species